UACGUAGGGUGCAAGCGUUAAUCGGAAUUACUGGGCGUAAAGGGCGCGUAGGCGGCCUUCUAAGUCGAACGUGAAAUCCCCGGGCUCAACCCGGGAACUGCGUCCGAUACUGGGAGGCUUGAAUCCGGGAGAGGGAUGUGGAAUUCCAGGUGUAGCGGUGAAAUGCGUAGAUAUCUGGAGGAACACCGGUGGCGAAGGCGGCAUCCUGGACCGGUAUUGACGCUGAGGCGCGAAAGCCAGGGGGGCAAACGGG
rnacentral:rRNA from 1 species